rfam:Camponotus floridanus CamFlo_1.0_4.contig6065, whole genome shotgun sequence.
AAGAUCAUACUUCACAGGAUCAGUUCUGUAGUAUUCGAUCUUAUUCUCCCUCCCUAACACGGGAGUAAGCGUAACCAUGAUGAGGAGUUGCAGUCCUCUUCCUUGAGCGUGAGAACGACACGAGUUCUCGACUUGUUUCGAGAUCUCUGUCAUCGAUGAUCGUUCUCCCUUUGCACUUAGUGUAAAGGGGAUGGGGAGACGGGCUUUCUGAGUGGU